rnacentral:rRNA from 1 species
AGGUUACUGCUAUCGGUGUUCGCCUAAGCCAUGCGAGUCAUAUGUUCUUCGUGAACAUGGCGUACUGCUCAGUAACACGUGGAUAACCUGCCCUUGGGUUCGGCAUAACCCCGGGAAACUGGGGAUAAUUCCGGAUAACGCACAUAUGCUGGAAUGCUUUAUGCGUCAAAUGGAUUCGUCCGCCCAAGGAUGGGUCUGCGGCCUAUCAGGUAGUAGUGGGUGUAAUGUACCUACUAGCCUACGACGGGUACGGGUUGUGAGAGCAAGAGCCCGGAGAUGGAUUCUGAGACAUGAAUCCAGGCCCUACGGGGCGCAGCAGGCGCGAAAACUUUACAAUGCGGGAAACCGUGAUAAGGGGACACCGAGUGCCAGCAUCAUAUGCUGGCUGUCCGGGUGUGUAAAAUACACCUGUUAGCAAGGGCCGGGCAAGACCGGUGCCAGCCGCCGCGGUAACACCGGCGGCCCGAGUGGUGAUCGUGAUUAUUGGGUCUAAAGGGUCCGUAGCCGGUUUGGUCAGUCCUCCGGGAAAUCUGACGGCUUAACCGUUAGGCUUUCGGGGGAUACUGCCAGACUUGGAACCGGGAGAGGUAAGAGGUACUACAGGGGUAGGAGUGAAAUCUUGUAAUCCCUGUGGGACCACCUGUGGCGAAGGCGUCUUACCAGAACGGGUUCGACGGUGAGGGACGAAAGCUGGGGGCACGAACCGGAUUAGAUACCCGGGUAGUCCCAGCCGUAAACGAUGCUCGCUAGGUGUCAGGCAUGGCGCGACCGUGUCUGGUGCCGCAGGGAAGCCGUGAAGCGAGCCACCUGGGAAGUACGGCCGCAAGGCUGAAACUUAA